rnacentral:rRNA from 18 species
AAAUUGAAGAGUUUGAUCAUGGCUCAGAUUGAACGCUGGCGGCAGGCCUAACACAUGCAAGUCGAACGGUAACAGGAAGCAGCUUGCUGCUUCGCUGACGAGUGGCGGACGGGUGAGUAAUGUCUGGGAAACUGCCUGAUGGAGGGGGAUAACUACUGGAAACGGUGGCUAAUACCGCAUAACGUCGCAAGACCAAAGAGGGGGACCUUCGGGCCUCUUGCCAUCAGAUGUGCCCAGAUGGGAUUAGCUAGUUGGUGAGGUAACGGCUCACCAAGGCGACGAUCCCUAGCUGGUCUGAGAGGAUGACCAGCCACACUGGAACUGAGACACGGUCCAGACUCCUACGGGAGGCAGCAGUGGGGAAUAUUGCACAAUGGGCGCAAGCCUGAUGCAGCCAUGCCGCGUGUAUGAAGAAGGCCUUCGGGUUGUAAAGUACUUUCAGCGGGGAGGAAGGUGUUGUGGUUAAUAACCGCAGCAAUUGACGUUACCCGCAGAAGAAGCACCGGCUAACUCCGUGCCAGCAGCCGCGGUAAUACGGAGGGUGCAAGCGUUAAUCGGAAUUACUGGGCGUAAAGCGCACGCAGGCGGUCUGUCAAGUCGGAUGUGAAAUCCCCGGGCUCAACCUGGGAACUGCAUUCGAAACUGGCAGGCUUGAGUCUUGUAGAGGGGGGUAGAAUUCCAGGUGUAGCGGUGAAAUGCGUAGAGAUCUGGAGGAAUACCGGUGGCGAAGGCGGCCCCCUGGACAAAGACUGACGCUCAGGUGCGAAAGCGUGGGGAGCAAACAGGAUUAGAUACCCUGGUAGUCCACGCCGUAAACGAUGUCUACUUGGAGGUUGUGCCCUUGAGGCGUGGCUUCCGGAGCUAACGCGUUAAGUAGACCGCCUGGGGAGUACGGCCGCAAGGUUAAAACUCAAAUGAAUUGACGGGGGCCCGCACAAGCGGUGGAGCAUGUGGUUUAAUUCGAUGCAACGCGAAGAACCUUACCUGGUCUUGACAUCCACAGAACUUUCCAGAGAUGGAUUGGUGCCUUCGGGAACUGUGAGACAGGUGCUGCAUGGCUGUCGUCAGCUCGUGUUGUGAAAUGUUGGGUUAAGUCCCGCAACGAGCGCAACCCUUAUCCUUUGUUGCCAGCGGUUAGGCCGGGAACUCAAAGGAGACUGCCAGUGAUAAACUGGAGGAAGGUGGGGAUGACGUCAAGUCAUCAUGGCCCUUACGACCAGGGCUACACACGUGCUACAAUGGCGCAUACAAAGAGAAGCGACCUCGCGAGAGCAAGCGGACCUCAUAAAGUGCGUCGUAGUCCGGAUUGGAGUCUGCAACUCGACUCCAUGAAGUCGGAAUCGCUAGUAAUCGUGGAUCAGAAUGCCACGGUGAAUACGUUCCCGGGCCUUGUACACACCGCCCGUCACACCAUGGGAGUGGGUUGCAAAAGAAGUAGGUAGCUUAACCUUCGGGAGGGCGCUUACCACUUUGUGAUUCAUGACUGGGGUGAAGUCGUAACAAGGUAACCGUAGGGGAACCUGCGGUUGGAUCACCUCCUUA